rnacentral:antisense_RNA from 1 species
AAAAGGGCAUGUUUGUUUUGCUAUUUUCAAAGGGUUUGUGCAUAUCACAUUUUACCACAUUUUACCCCAAUUUCACCACACUGGGGAAUGUUGUCACAUUCCCCAAGCUAGAAAUGUUUUCCAAAAACCACAGGUACUUUCUGUAAUCUUGUUGUUCAAAGUACAAAAUCUUACAUGUUAAAAAAAUUUUUAAUUGGAGAUUAGUACCUCUGCUUUCUUCUGACAGAAGUACACAAUUCAUUAUACCAUGUUUAAAAA